GCGGCAUCAGCUCAAAUUUGAAAUCUGGCUCUUUCAGGGUCCGAGUUGUAAUUUGCAGAGGGCGCUUUGGCGUUGGCAGCGGUCCAAGUUCCUUGGAACAGGACGUCACAGAGGGUGAGAAUCCCGUACGUGGUCGCUGGCCUUCGCCGUGUAAAGCCCCUUCGACGAGUCGAGUUGUUUGGGAAUGCAGCUCUAAAUGGGAGGUAAAUUUCUUCUAAAGCUAAAUACUGGCCAGAGACCGAUAGCGCACAAGUAGAGUGAUCGAAAGAUGAAAAGCACUUUGGAAAGAGAGUCAAAUAGCACGUGAAAUUGUUGAAAGGGAAGCGCUUGCAGCCAGACUUGCUUGUAGUUGCUCAUCCGGGCUCUUGCCCGGUGCACUCUUCUGCGAGCAGGCCAGCAUCAGUCUGGGCGGUUGGAUAAAGGCCUCUGUCAUGUACCUCCUUUCGGGGAGGCCUUAUAGGGGAGGCGUAAUGCAACCAGCCUGGACUGAGGUCCGCGCAUCUGCUAGGAUGCUGGCGUAAUGGCUGUAAGCGGCCCGUCUUGAAACACGGACCAAGGAGUCUAACAUCUAUGCGAGUGUUUGGGUGUCAAGCCCGAGCGCGUAAUGAAAGUGAACGGAGGUGGGAUCCCUUUAGGGUGCACCAUCGACCGAUCCUGAUGUCUUCGGAUGGAUUUGAGUAAGAGCAUGGCUGUUGGGACCCGAAAGAUGGUGAACUAUGCUUGAAUAGGGUGAAGCCAGAGGAAACUCUGGUGGAGGCUCGCAGCGGUUCUGACGUGCAAAUCGAUCGUCAAA
rnacentral:rRNA from 1 species